UGCAUGAUUUACAACACUUAUGUCUCCAGUCACUUCCAUUUUAUUGAGUUAUCAAUUUCUCAGCGUUAAAAAAAAAAACUUUCACAAACUCCUGUUACAACUCUGGGCCCACGUUGAGAUGACAUUUAAAGAGCUGGCUGUUAACAAUGUAUCUGGUUGCAGUGAGAAAGCAAGAUUUUAUUGCCGAACGCAUAUCAAAUAAUGACGUUUGCUGGCACGUCCGUGUGAACAGGACAGAACAAUAUCUCCUCAGCACCAAGUGGGCCGCGGGGAACGUUGUAUCCGGCGCCAACCAGAAAGACUGAAAAUUCCUCACUUCAUAAAAAACAAUUCUGGACCAUCACACCGCCUGGUAAUCAAUACGAAGAGCACAGCUGUCACACUAUAAAAAACAGCCAUAAUUUGGGAAGAGCCCUUUUCUUUCUGUGUUCUCCUCUGUUGGAGGACAUCAGGAUUACCUAGUUGUAGAAAUGCUACACGGUGCUGGAGCUUUCAGGUGUUCUGGGUGAUAGGUGCUACUUCCAUUGAUUGCUCUGAUGAGUACUUAAGCAGGAGGCUGCCAGCACUUCGUUGCCAGAGUGUUUUGCCACCAGUGAUUUAGAAAACCUAAGCUUUGGAUCUAUGUCACUGUGUACUGACUACGUCUUCGGAAAUUACUCUGGAUGAUGAAGCCUAUCGAUGCUUUGUGGAUUUCAUAUCCUAUCUCCUGUCUUCGUUUGGAUUCACAUCAAGCUGGCAGUUUCCUGCUCCCGUCAUCUCCUGGACCAAACUGUAAGCGUAACCUGUCCACCCUCCGACGUAAACACCUGCACACCAAACUCAUUCCUGUCCGCUCCGAACUCACACUGAACAGCACCCAAGGAACCUCCUACAGACUCACCUUUGUCUAACAUGGAUCCUGAAUCUCUCUACCCCUGGCGACCUGACCACAGCUACUUAUUGGAGUUUCGAUCAUUACAUUCCUAAUUAUCUUCCUUUAAAUAAAUAACCUUUUACUGAUUUUGUUCAGAGUGUUUCUCUGUAUGUGGGUCAGAUCUAUUGCAAAAACAAUGACAUUCUCC